CAUUUUUCCUUUCUACUUGUUUUCAGACCUGAGGAUAGGAAGUAUAUUGCUGACCUUCACCCUUACCCCAGUGCAGAGGGUGAAAUGAAGCAGAAGCAAAGCUUGAUUGCAUACACAAGUUGAUUGGAAGAGACAGCCUUGACCUUUCAUGGUAUUCCCCUAAAUAAUCCCCCCAAAGAAAUGCAUUAACUCUUUUCUACCUGUAUACAGGCUCUGUAUCUUGUACAGAAGCAUGGGAAUGGAUGUUGCUGUGUUUUUCCCCACAACAGUCAAGUGUCUCUAAGUUUCAAAUAAAAGGGUGAAGCUUCUUUGCUCUGCAUGACCUGUCCAUCAGUUCAGACUAGAGAUUGUUUUGGAGAAGAUUCCAUUAGGUGUACUCCUACCUAACCCUUGGGAAGCUCAUUCUUAGUUCAGAUUACCUGCUGGUGGACCAAACAGGAUAAAUAAUAUGUUGCACUAGGGAAGAUGGUUGGUAAAUGAAUAAAGUAGGGCAAAUGGUUGCACUGUCCUGAGGUACCAGUCAUCUUUAUAAGGUACUAGUUUCUAGAGAUUUAAUAACUUAAGAUCUCCAUAUUUGAUGCAAAAUGUAUUGCUGCUAAUGCUUUAUAAGGAAAUAAUGUA